CCUACGGGAGGCUGCAGUGGGGAAUAUUGCACAACGGGCGCAAGCCUGAUGCAGCCAUGCCGCGUGUGUGAAGAAGGCCUUCGGGCUGUAAAGCACUUUCAGCGGGGAGGAAGGCGGUGAGGUUAAUAACCUCGUCGAUUGACGUUACCCGCAGAAGAAGCACCGGCUAACUCCGUGCCAGCAGCCGCGGUAAUACGGAGGGUGCAAGCGUUAAUCGGAAUUACUGGGCGUAAAGCGCACGCAGGCGGUCUGUCAAGUCGGAUGUGAAAUCCCCGGGCUCAACCUGGGAACUGCAUUCGAAACUGGCAGGCUAGAGUCUUGUAGAGGGGGGUAGAAUUCCAGGUGUAGCGGUGAAAUGCGUAGAGAUCUGGAGGAAUACCGGUGGCGAAGGCGGCCCCCUGGACAAAGACUGACGCUCAGGUGCGAAAGCGUGGGGAGCAAACAGGAUUAGAUACCCGAGUAGUC
rnacentral:rRNA from 1 species